rnacentral:misc_RNA from 1 species
GAGCAAUCAGUCAUGGCGUUCCUCCGCUGCACCCUGGCCGUCACGCCCUUCAUCCCUCGCGCGGCCCCAAUGCCGUACGAGAUCAAGCACCGUGUCCCCUCCCUCCACGGCGGCGCCAGAACUAGCACAGCCUGUUCUCUCAGAUCUGUGUUACCGGCGCCGGGAUUAGGGCUGGGAUCGGUGAGGAGGCGAAGCCGGGGACUGAUGGGGACUGUUUGCUAUGCGUCGCCGCUCAGCCCGCAAACUGUGCAGUGGGUUUCUGCUGUCUCUGCAGCGAUACUGAUGUUUGUAAAAGGCACUGCUAUCCAAAAAUCGUUUCUGGUUCCCCUUGUUGCUCUGCAAGCCCCUGCAAGUGUCAUAUCAUGGAUCAAGGGCGAGUAUGGAAUGUGGACUGCGUUUUUGGCACUUCUCCUACGUCUGUUCUACUUUAUCCCUGGUGAACUGGACCUACCGUUCUUAACCAUGCUUCUUGUAAUCGUGUCUCCAUAUCAAACAUUGGACUUAAGAGGUACUCAAUCUGGUGCAAUUCUUUCGUUGGUGAUUGCUGUGUAUUUGGCUUACCAACAUUUCUCAAGGGCAGGAAGUUUGCGGAGGGCUUUCGAUCAAGGAUCCAUUUUAGCGACAUUAGCUAUCAUCUGUCUUACUGUUGUUCCCAUCUUGUUUUUUAUUUGAUGUUAUCAUAAAGAUGCCUACAUUUACUGAUCCUCUUGCAGUUCUCUUGUAUAAUACAUCUUAAGUUGUAACUUCUCAGGUUUGUAGUAACAUGAUAUGGAUAUGCCUCCAAGAAUACUUUCACCUACUUUGUCG